rnacentral:rRNA from 1 species
UACGUAGGCAGCGAGCGUUGUUCGGAGUUACUGGGCGUAAAGAGUGCGUAGGCGGUCGAUCAAGUCGAGUGUGAAAGCCCCCCGGCUCAACUGGGGGAGGGUCAUUCGAUACUGAUCGACUCGAAGGCAGGAGAGGGUAGUGGAAUUCCCGGUGUAGUGGUGAAAUGCGUAGAUAUCGGGAGGAACACCCGUGGCGAAGGCGGCUCACUCGGGCUGACCUUGACGCUGAGGCGCGCAGGCGUGGGGAGCGAACGGG